CACGGGGAGGAGCAUCAGGGUCUGAGGAAGGAGAUGAGAGAAACACUGAAAACUGAAAAAUUAGUGGCUCCGGUUAUAUGAAUCAAACAAGACUAAACAAGAUAAGUGGUCAGAAACGGGCCCUCGAGGGACUGACUGAAAAGUAGCAGCUCUGCAGGAAGACCUUGAAGGAGAUUAUCAGCCAAAUUUUAUUCAGCUGGAAGCAUAGAGUGGUAGAGAUAAUAUCAUCUGGCUUACUGCUGUCAGCGUGAUGUCCUGGAGCAGAGUUUCCUCAACCAGCACCAGGAGUCUGUAUUGGACUAUGGGACCGUUGGGCUGGGCAGGGCUUUUCCAACUUACACGAAUUGAAACUGAAUCCUCAGCUAUUGCCAUCAGGUGUAACGAUGUCUCCCUCCGCUGCAGGACCCACCUCACCAGCUGCUUUUGCUCGGACGGCUACUAUGUACCUCGUGUAGGGUUUCAAACCGGUAGAGUACGUAGGAGAACUUUCCUGUGGUGAUGCUGGGAGGGCUCCAGGACACAGAGAAUGAUCGAGACGUCAUGCUGAAUACAGAGAAGUUUUGUGGCGGGUCUUCUGGAGCUGCACAAGCAGGAAUAUUUGUUUUC